GAUGAACGCUGGCGGCGUGCCUAAUACAUGCAAGUAGAACGCUGAAGGAAGGAGCUUGCUCUUUCCGGAUGAGUUGCGAACGGGUGAGUAACGCGUAGGUAACCUGCCUGGUAGCGGGGGAUAACUAUUGGAAACGAUAGCUAAUACCGCAUAACAGUAGAUGUUGCAUGAUAUCUACUUAAAAGGUGCAAUUGCACCACUACCAGAUGGACCUGCGUUGUAUUAGCUAGUUGGUGAGGUAACGGCUCACCAAGGCGACGAUACAUAGCCGACCUGAGAGGGUGAUCGGCCGCACUGGGACUGAGACACGGCCCAGACUCCUACGGGAGGCAGCAGUAGGGAAUCUUCGGCAAUGGACGGAAGUCUGACCGAGCAACGCCGCGUGAGUGAAGAAGGUUUUCGGAUCGUAAAGCUCUGUUGUAAGAGAAGAACGAGUGUGAGAGUGGAAAGUUCACACUGUGACGGUAUCUUACCAGAAAGGGACGGCUAACUACGUG
rnacentral:rRNA from 1 species